CGGUCUGUGAUGACUAGCCCACUGCGCAAUCUGAAUAAUAAUAAACCAUAUGAUAGAAGCAGUGCUGUAUUAUAAUCUGAGACCA